rnacentral:rRNA from 1 species
CACCUACGGGGGGCAGCAGUAGGGAAUCUUCCACAAUGGACGAAAGUCUGAUGGAGCAACGCCGCGUGAGUGAAGAAGGGUUUCGGCUCGUAAAGCUCUGUUGGUAGUGGAGAAAGAUAGAGGUAGUAACUGGCCUUUAUUUGACGGUAAUUACUUAGAAAGUCACGGCUAACUACGGGCCAGCAGCCGCGGUAAUACGUAGGUGGCAAGCGUUGUCCGGAUUUAUUGGGCGUAAAGCGAGUGCAGGCGGUUCAAUAAGACUGGUUUGAAAGCCUUUGGGUCAACCGGGGAAUUGCAUCAGACAA